rnacentral:rRNA from 1 species
UAACUACUGGAAACGGUGGCUAAUACCGCAUAACGUCGCAAGACCAAAGAGGGGGACCUUCGGGCCUCUUGCCAUCAGAUGUGCCCAGAUGGGAUUAGCUUGUUGGUGAGGUAACGGCUCACCAAGGCGACGAUCCCUAGCUGGUCUGAGAGGAUGACCAGCCACACUGGAACUGAGACACGGUCCAGACUCCUACGGGAGGCAGCAGUGGGGAAUAUUGCACAAUGGGCGCAAGCCUGAUGCAGCCAUGCCGCGUGUAUGAAGAAGGCCUUCGGGUUGUAAAGUACUUUCAGCGGGGAGGAAGGUGUUGUGGUUAAUAACCGCAGCAAUUGACGUUACCCGCAGAAGAAGCACCGGCUAACUCCGUGCCAGCAGCCGCGGUAAUACGGAGGGUGCAAGCGUUAAUCGGAAUUACUGGGCGUAAAGCGCACGCAGGCGGUCUGUCAAGUCGGAUGUGAAAUCCCCGGGCUCAACCUGGGAACUGCAUUCGAAACUGGCAGGCUUGAGUCUUGUAGAGGGGGGUAGAAUUCCAGGUGUAGCGGUGAAAUGCGUAGAGAUCUGGAGGAAUACCGGUGGCGAAGGCGGCCCCCUGGACAAAGACUGACGCUCAGGUGCGAAAGCGUGGGGAGCAAACAGGAUUAGAUACCCUGGUAGUCCACGCCGUAAACGAUGUCUACUUGGAGGUUGUGCCCUUGAGGCGUGGCUUCCGGAGCUAACGCGUUAAGUAGACCGCCUGGGGAGUACGGCCGCAAGGUUAAAACUCAAAUGAAUUGACGGGGGCCCGCACAAGCGGUGGAGCAUGUGGUUUAAUUCGAUGCAACGCGAAGAACCUUACCUGGUCUUGACAUCCACGGAAGUUUUCAGAGAUGAGAAUGUGCCUUCGGGAACCGUGAGACAGGUGCUGCAUGGCUGUCGUCAGCUCGUGUUGUGAAAUGUUGGGUUAAGUCCCGCAACGAGCGCAACCCUUAUCCUUUGUUGCCAGCGGUUAGGCCGGGAACUCAAAGGAGACUGCCAGUGAUAAACUGGAGGAAGGUGGGGAUGACGUCAAGUCAUCAUGGCCCUUACGACCAGGGCUACACACGUGCUACAAUGGCGCAUACAAAGAGAAGCGACCUCGCGAGAGCAAGCGGACCUCAUAAAGUGCGUCGUAGUCCGGAUUGGAGUCUGCAACUCGACUCCAUGAAGUCGGAAUCGCUAGUAAUCGUGGAUCAGAAUGCCACGGUGAAUACGUUCCCGGGCCUUGUACACACCGCCCGUCACACCAUGGGAGUGGGUUGCAAAAGAAGUAGGUAGCUUAACCUUCGGGAGGGCGCUUACCACUUUGUGAUUCAUGACUGGGGUGAAGUCGUAACAAGGUAACCGUAGGGGAACCUGCGGUUGGA